rnacentral:tRNA from 1 species
UCCCUGGUGGCUCAGAUGGUAAAGCGUCUGCCUGCAAUGCAGGAGACCCAGGUUCGAUCCCUGGGUUGAGAA